UUAUAUCCUUCAGAUCAAUGCUCAGAUUGAUCGAGCCACAAUCAGAUCUAGAUAUUUGUUUGUUGGAUGCACUUGGUAUAGUCAUGUUAAUGAUCGAACCAAAUCAGAAUUUUUAGCAGAGGUACCACAUGCCUGUUGAAGAGAUUUUUGGGGCAAAACUUAAUUACUAGAAGUUAUUUAGAGAAACAAUUAGUUAUGAACCUACCCAU
rnacentral:lncRNA from 1 species